CCGGCGAUGUCCGAAUGGGGAAACCCAGUGCAAUUCGUUGCACUAUCGUUAACUGAAUACAUAGGUUAACGAGGCGAACCGGGGGAACUGAAACAUCUAAGUACCCCGAGGAAAAGAAAUCAACCGAGAUUCCCCCAGUAGCGGCGAGCGAACGGGGAGCAGCCCAGAGUCUGAAUCAGCUUGUGUGUUAGUGGAACGGUCUGGAAAGUCCGACGGUACAGGGUGAUAGUCCCGUACACCAAAAUGCACAGGCUGUGAACUCGAAGAGUAGGGCGGGACACGUGGUAUCCUGUCUGAAUAUGGGGGGACCAUCCUCCAAGGCUAAAUACUCCUGACUGACCGAUAGUGAACCAGUACCGUGAGGGAAAGGCGAAAAGAACCCCGGCGAGGGGAGUGAAAAAGAACCUGAAACCGUGUACGUACAAGCAGUGGGAGCACCUUCGGGUGUGACUGCGUACCUUUUGUAUAAUGGGUCAGCGACUUAUAUUCUGUAGCAAGGUUAACCGUAUAGGGGAGCCGCAGGGAAACCGAGUCUUAACUGGGCGUUAAGUUGCAGGGUAUAGACCCGAAACCCGGUGAUCUAGCCAUGGGCAGGUUGAAGGUUGGGUAACACUAACUGGAGGACCGAACCGACUAAUGUUGAAAAAUUAGCGGAUGACUUGUGGCUGGGGGUGAAAGGCCAAUCAAACCGGGAGAUAGCUGGUUCUCCCCGAAAGCUAUUUAGGUAGCGCCUCGUGAAUUCAUCUUCGGGGGUAGAGCACUGUUUCGGCUAGGGGGUCAUCCCGACUUACCAACCCGAUGCAAACUACGAAUACCGAAGAAUGUUAUCACGGGAGACACACGGCGGGUGCUAACGUCCGUCGUGAAGAGGGAAACAACCCAGACCGCCAGCUAAGGUCCCAAAGUCAUGGUUAAGUGGGAAACGAUGUGGGAAGGCACAGACAGCCAGGAUGUUGGCUUAGAAGCAGCCAUCAUUUAAAGAAAGCGUAAUAGCUCACUGGUCGAGUCGGCCUGCGCGGAAGAUGUAACGGGGCUAAACCAUGCACCGAAGCUGCGGCAGCGACACUAUGUGUUGUUGGGUAGGGGAGCGUUCUGUAAGCCUGCGAAGGUGACCUGUGAGGGUUGCUGGAGGUAUCAGAAGUGCGAAUGCUGACAUAAGUAACGAUAAAGCGGGUGAAAAGCCCGCUCGCCGGAAGACCAAGGGUUCCUGUCCAACGUUAAUCGGGGCAGGGUGAGUCGACCCCUAAGGCGAGGCCGAAAGGCGUAGUCGAUGGGAAACAGGUUAAUAUUCCUGUACUUGGUGUUACUGCGAAGGGGGGACGGAGAAGGCUAUGUUAGCCGGGCGACGGUUGUCCCGGUUUAAGCAUGUAGGCUGGUUAUCCAGGCAAAUCCGGAUAAUCAAGGCUGAGGUGUGAUGACGAGGCACUACGGUGCUGAAGUAACAAAUGCCCUGCUUCCAGGAAAAGCCUCUAAGCAUCAGGUAACAUCAAAUCGUACCCCAAACCGACACAGGUGGUCAGGUAGAGAAUACCAAGGCGCUUGAGAGAACUCGGGUGAAGGAACUAGGCAAAAUGGUGCCGUAACUUCGGGAGAAGGCACGCUGGUGUGUAGGUGAAGUCCCUGCGGAUGGAGCUGAGACCAGUCGAAGAUACCAGCUGGCUGCAACUGUUUAUUAAAAACACAGCACUGUGCAAACACGAAAGUGGACGUAUACGGUGUGACGCCUGCCCGGUGCCGGAAGGUUAAUUGAUGGGGUUAUCCGUAAGGAGAAGCUCUUGAUCGAAGCCCCGGUAAACGGCGGCCGUAACUAUAACGGUCCUAAGGUAGCGAAAUUCCUUGUCGGGUAAGUUCCGACCUGCACGAAUGGCGUAAUGAUGGCCAGGCUGUCUCCACCCGAGACUCAGUGAAAUUGAACUCGCUGUGAAGAUGCAGUGUACCCGCGGCAAGACGGAAAGACCCCGUGAACCUUUACUAUAGCUUGACACUGAACAUUGAGCCUUGAUGUGUAGGAUAGGUGGGAGGCUUUGAAGCGUGGACGCCAGUCUGCGUGGAGCCAACCUUGAAAUACCACCCUUUAAUGUUUGAUGUUCUAACGUUGGCCCCU
rnacentral:rRNA from 2 species